rnacentral:rRNA from 1 species
UGGGAGUGAGACUGCGGGCGACAAGGUUCGUAGUCGAGAGGGAAACAGCCCAGACCGACAGCUAAGGUCCCAAAUACCGUUAAGUGUGAAAUGAUGUGUGAUUGCGAAGACAGCCAGGAGGUUGGCUUAGAAGCAGCCAUUCCUUAAAAGAGUGCGUAAUAGCUCACUGGUCGAGUAAUGAUGCGCAGACAAUGUAACGGGGCUUAAGCGGUAUACCGAAGCUACGGAUUCAGCACAUAAGUGUGGAUGGUAGGGGAGCAUUCCAUGGACCGAAGAAGGUAAACUGUAAGGUUUGCUGGAGGGGGUGGAAGAGAGAAUGCAGGUAUAAGUAGACGAAAAGACGGGUGAGAUCCCCGUCCGCCGAAAGCAUAAGGAUUCCUGGGUAAAGGUCAUCUGCCCAGGGUAAGUCGGCCCCUAAGGUGAGGACGAAAGUCGUAAUCGAUGGGAAACUGGUUCAUAUUCCAGUACCUUAUUAAGUUUGAGGGGAUGACGCAUGAGGUGAAACCCGGCCGGGCGACGGUUGUCGUGGUCGAAGCAGCGAGUUGAUGAUUCCGGCAUGGCAAAUCCACCGGAGAGCAUGAGCUGUGACAGCGAGUGGAUCUACGGAGAAGAGAAGCGGGCGUAAUCAGGUGCCAAGAAAUAAUCUCUAAGUCUAGGCUUAAUAAGAACCGUACCGUAAACCGACACAGGUACGCGGGAUGAGAAAUAUCAGGCGCUCGAGAGAACUCGCGUUAGGAACUGACAAAAUACAUAUGUAAAUUCGGGAGAAGUAUGACCAUCUUUCGUUUAGCAAUAAGUUAAGGGGGGGCACAGAGCAGUCCCAGGCGACUGUUUAUCAAA